rnacentral:rRNA from 1 species
GUUUGAUCCUGGCUCAGGACGAAUGCUGGCUGCGUGCUUAACACAUGCAAGUCGAACGGUGAACAGGGGCUUGCCCCUGGGAUCAGUGGCGAACGGGUGAGUAACACGUGGGCAACCUGCCCCUCACUCUGGGAUAACUCCGGGAAACCGGGGCUAAUACCGGAUACGACCAGACACGACAUCGGGUCUGGUGGAAAGAACUUCGGUGAGGGAUGGGCCCGCGGCCUAUCAGCUUGUUGGUGAGGUAACGGCUCACCAAGGCGACGACGGGUAGCCGGCCUGAGAGGGCGACCGGCCACACUGGGACUGAGACACGGCCCAGACUCCUACGGGAGGCAGCAGUGGGGAAUAUUGCGCAAUGGGCGAAAGCCUGACGCAGCGACGCAGCGUGAGGGACGACGGCCUCGGUUG